rnacentral:tRNA from 1 species
AGCAACUUGACGCAGUGGAAGCGUGCAGGGCUCAUACAACGUUCUGAUGACACCCUGAAGUCCCUAGAUCGAAACUAGGAGUUGCUA